rnacentral:rRNA from 1 species
ACGCUCGACACCUACGGGGGGCAGCAGUGGGGAAUAUUGCACAAUGGGGGAAACCCUGAUGCAGCGACGCCGCGUGAGUGAAGAAGUAUUUCGGUAUGUAAAGCUCUAUCAGCAGGGAAGAAGAUGACGGUACCUGAGUAAGAAGCCCCGGCUAACUACGUGCCAGUAGCCGCGGUAAUCUGAGCGGGCUGGCAAGGC